AUGGUAGGAUAGAGGCCUACCAUGGUUUUAACGGGUAACGGGGAAUUAGGGUUCGAUUCCGGAGAGGGAGCCUGAGAAACGGCUACCACAUCCAAGGAAGGCAGCAGGCGCGCAAAUUACCCAAUCCCGACACGGGGAGGUAGUGACAAUAAAUAACAAUAUGGGGCUCUUACGAGUCUUGUAAUUGGAAUGAGUACAAUUUAAAUCUCUUAACGAGGAACAAUUGGAGGGCAAGUCUGGUGCCAGCAGCCGCGGUAAUUCCAGCUCCAAUAGCGUAUAUUAAAGUUGUUGCAGUUAAAAAGCUCGUAGUUGAAUUUCGGGAUUUAUCCGUCGGUCGGGCUUUUGGGUCUGUACUGGCGUGAUGGAUUCCUACCUUCUGAAUAACCGGCAUGUCAUUAAUUUGGUGCGCCGGGGAAGCAGGACUGUUACCUUGAAAAAAUUAGAGUGCUUAAAGCAGGCUUAUGCCUGAAUACAUUAGCAUGGAAUAAUGAAAUAGGACGGCAUGGUUCUAUUUUGUUGGUUUCUAGGAUCACCGUAAUGAUUAAUAGGGAUAGUUGGGGGCAUUAGUAUUCAAUUGUCAGAGGUGAAAUUCUUGGAUUUAUUAAAGACUAACUUCUGCGAAAGCAUUUGCCAAGGAUGUUUUCAUUAAUCAAGAACGAAAGUUAGGGGAUCGAAGACGAUCAGAUACCGUCGUAGUCUUAACCAUAAACUAUGCCGACUAGGGAUCGGACGAUGUUAAUUUUUUAACGACUCGUUCGGCGCCUUACGGGAAACCAAAGUGUUUGGG
rnacentral:rRNA from 1 species